CGUGGAUCAGCAGUUUUGGGCAGCUGUUGUUGGCGCUCAUGAGAGACCAAGGCACCUUCUACCAUGUCUAAAGCUACAGCUGCUGCUUUUUGAAAGAGAUUCCACUGCGGUUGUUGAAGGUGGCCGGUUUUGCGUUUUACAGUGAGAAAGGAGUCAUCUUUGGGAAUUGCUGGUGCUCGAUAGGAUUGUUCAGGGAAAUGGAGAACAGAGGGAGAGUGUAGAGCGCAGUGAAUUUUGGUUCU
rnacentral:misc_RNA from 1 species